AAGUUACGGACUUUUAUUUACAGCUGCCAACAUAGAUGAGGUCUUGCUCCACACCCUCAGUAGGGACGAUUUAAGGGACCUGCUUCCAGGGCCUGAAAAUUUUAUGAGGAGGAAACAGUUGUGGGCUCAAGUUUACAAAGAGGCAAGUUUUGCCGCUUUUGAUUUCAAAACACCUAGCACAAGACAUUUUGUUUAGGACUCCUGUAAUAUAACUAUUUUUGUUUUCUUAUUUAGGAUGAAACUAAAGGCGUCUCAUCGAUAUCUCACCAUGUGACCAGGGAGAAGAUUAUGAUGCAGAUUCAAGUGGUGGAUCAAACAUGCUUUUGCCACCAAGGAGCAGUUCUGGUGACAACAGUUCCCUGUUCAGGACACUACUAACUUUCUUCCCAUCAUGAGCUGUACCACCCAAGAAGAUGGGACAUGCCAGUGAAGCACUGAUUCAUGUCCUUCAGAAGAUCCAGCGUCAGCCCCGUUCUGCUCUUUGAAGGGUCCCGCUGUCUUAUUGCAGUUGGAACCACUCUCAUCACCACAUUUGACCACAGAUGACCUUGGAGAAGGUUUGCUGUAUCUUAUGGCAUACUACUACACCCUGCAUCUCACCUAUCCUAAAUGUGUGUCAACGCUUCUGUCUGUCAUUCAGACUGAAGUGUUAAAGGACAAAAUCCAUGAGCAAGACACCACAGGCUCAUACAAAAAAGUCAUGGCAGGCUGUAGGAAUUUUUAUUGAACGUAGAGCUGUUUG